AACGAACGCUGGCGGCAUGCCUAACACAUGCAAGUCGAACGAGACCUUCGGGUCUAGUGGCGCACGGGUGCGUAACGCGUGGGAAUCUGCCCUUGGGUUCGGAAUAACUCAGAGAAAUUUGAGCUAAUACCGGAUGAUGACGAAAGUCCAAAGAUUUAUCGCCCAAGGAUGAGCCCGCGUAAGAUUAGCUUGUUGGUGGGGUAAUGGCCCACCAAGGCGACGAUCUUUAGCCGGUCUGAGAGGAUGAUCAGCCACACUGGGACUGAGACACGGCCCAGACUCCUACGGGAGGCAGCAGUGGGGAAUCUUGGACAAUGGGGGAAACCCUGAUCUAGCCAUGCCGCGUGAUCGAUGAAGGCCUUAGGGUUGUAAAGAUCUUUCAGUGGGGAAGAUAAUGACUGUACCCACAGAAGAAGCCCCGGCAAACUUCGUGCCAGCCGCCGCGGUAACAC
rnacentral:rRNA from 1 species